GGAAGUAAAAGUCUAACAAGGUCUCCGUUGGUGAACCAGCGGAGGGAUCAUUACAGAGUUGCAAAACUCCCAAACCAUUGUGAACGUUACCUAUCCCGUUGCUUCGGCGGGCGGCCCGGGCCCCGCGCCCGGCGCCCCCCGGCCCCCCGUGGGCGCCCGCCGGAGGUAAACCAAACCCUUGAAUUGCAUGGCCUCUCUGAGUCUUCUGUACUGAAUAAGUCAAAACUUUCAGCAACGGAUCUCUUGGUUCUG
rnacentral:misc_RNA from 1 species